rnacentral:tRNA from 1 species
CCCCGGAUAACUCAGACUGGUAGAGUGCAUGGCUGUAGACCAUGAUGCCGCGUGUUCGAAUCACGCUCCGGGGACCA